UGGGGAAUAUUGGACAAUGGGCGAAAGCCUGAUCCAGCCAUGCCGCGUGUGUGAAGAAGGUCUUCGGAUUGUAAAGCACUUUCAGUUGGGAGGAAGGGCAGUAAGCUAAUACCUUGCUGUUUUGACGUUACCGACAGAAUAAGCACCGGCUAACUCUGUGCCAGCAGCCGCGGUAAUACAGAGGGUGCAAGCGUUAAUCGGAAUUACUGGGCGUAAAGCGCGCGUAGGUGGUUCGUUAAGUUGGAUGUGAAAUCCCCGGGCUCAACCUGGGAACUGCAUCCAAAACUGGCGAGCUAGAGUAUGGUAGAGGGUGGUGGAAUUUCCUGUGUAGCGGUGAAAUGCGUAGAUAAAGGAAGGAACACCAGUGGCGAAGGCGACCACCUGGACUGAAACUGACACUGAGGUGCGAAAGCGUAGGGAGCAAACGGG
rnacentral:rRNA from 1 species